GCUCGUAUAGCUCAGGGGAAGAGCUGAAGACUGAAGAUCUUCGUGCGUUGGUUCGAGUCCAACUACGAGCA
rnacentral:tRNA from 1 species